CGAGUAAGCCAGAUGAUCGCGGAUGCAGUGCCGAAAGGCCGCAUUUGAGGAAAGUCCGAGCUCCAUAGGGCAGGGUGCUGGGUAACCCCCAGUGGAGGCGACUCUAAGGAAAGUGCAACAGAGAUAUACCGCCACUUGCAUGCAAGUGGUAAGGGUGGAAAGGCGAGGUAAGAGCUCACCAGCGAUUAGGUGACUAAUCGGCUAUGUAAACCCCACUUGGAGCAACACCGUAUAGAGGAGAAGUACCUUCGAGGUACAACGUCGGCCCGGCGUCUCCCGGGUAGGUGGCUUGAGCUGUGCAGUAAUGUAUGGCCUAGAUAGAUGAUUAUCGAAUACAGAACUCGGCUUAUAGACUUGCUCGUUAU
rnacentral:RNase_P_RNA from 1 species